CUACGUGCCAGCAGCCGCGGUAAUACGGAAGGUCCAGGCGUUAUCCGGAUUUAUUGGGUUUAAAGGGAGUGUAGGCGGUCUGUUAAGCGUGUUGUGAAAUUUAGGUGCUCAACAUUUAACUUGCAGCGCGAACUGGCGGACUUGAGUGCACGCAACGUAUGCGGAAUUCAUGGUGUAGCGGUGAAAUGCUUAGAUAUCAUGACGAACUCCGAUUGCGAAGGCAGCGUACGGGAGUGUUACUGACGCUUAAGCUCGAAGGUGCGGGUAUCGAACAGGAUUAGAUACCCUGGUAGUCCGCACGGUAAACGAUGGAUGCCCGCUGUUAGCGCCUGGCGUUAGCGGCUAAGCGAAAGCAUUAAGCAUCCCACCUGGGGAGUACGCCGGCAACGGUGAAACUCAAAGGAAUUGACGGGGGCCCGCACAAGCGGAGGAACAUGUGGUUUAAUUCGAUGAUACGCGAGGAACCUUACCCGGGCU
rnacentral:rRNA from 1 species